GAAAUAAAUUGCAAACAUUUGAUAGUAUGACUAAACCUUUUCAUGUUAUUUAAACAUGAGAACUAUGCUUACUCCAUGCAUGCAUGGACGAAUGCAACUAACUAAGUCUGUUGUGUAACUCAAUGUAAGCAUGGACUUAGUUAAUGUUAGUUACCUUCGUCCAUGCAUGCAUGAACCAAGUCUGUUGUGUUAGUCCAUGCAAGCAUGGACUAAGUAAACUUUAGUUGCCUUCGUCCAUGCAUGCAUGGAAUAAGUAUUUUGUGUUAGUCCAUGCAAUCAUGGACUACUUUAACGUUAGUUGCCUUCGUCCAUGCAUGCAUGGAAUAAACUUAAUUAGUUCCGAGUUUUCAGGUUUACAUAACAUGAAAAGAUUUAGCCAUACUAUCAAGUGUGUGCAAUUAAUUUCUUAAUGUGAGAUAUAAUGCACAGUAUGUCUUUAAAUCAUAAUAAAUUGGUUGAAUAUGAAAAAAAUCAAUUUUUAAGAAAAAAUGAUAGUUACAUCAAAUUAAAAAAU
rnacentral:lncRNA from 1 species